rnacentral:pre_miRNA from 1 species
UAACUACUCACUCCGUCCCAUAUUAAGUGACUUUCUAUUACAUGUAUUUAGACAUUUUUUAAACAUAGAUACAUUCAUAUUUGGACAAAUUUGGGUCACUUAAUAUGAGACGGAGGGAGUACUAG